UACAGAGACCCCGAGCAUUAUCCGGAUUUAUUGGGCGUAAAGCGUACGUAGGCGGUUUCGUAAGUCAUUUGUUAAAUCUUCAGGCUUAACCUGGAGGCUGCGGGUGAUACUGCGAGGCUUGAGUGUGGGAGAGGUUAGCGGAAUGCCCGGUGUAGCGGUAAAAUGCGUUAAUAUCGGGUAGAACACCAAAUGCGAAAGCAGCUAACUGGAACACAACUGACGCUCAGUGUACGAAAGCGUGGGUAGCGAAAGGG
rnacentral:rRNA from 1 species